GCACGCGGUAACUCAGUUGGUAGAGCAUCUGCCCGGUGUGCAGGGGAUCGCCGGUUCGACUCCGGCUCGUGGCG
rnacentral:tRNA from 1 species